GGUAAGAUGGCUGAGUUUUAAGCGGUGGGUUGUAGCCCCAUGAACAGGGGUUCAAGUCCUCUUCUUAUCA
rnacentral:tRNA from 1 species